GACGAACGCUGGCGGCGUGCUUAACACAUGCAAGUCGAACGAAGUGGCGAACGGGUGAGUAACGCGUAAUCAACCUGCCCUUCAGAGGGGGAUCACAGUUGGAAACGACUGCUAAUACCGCAUACAGAAGGAGGGGAUUGCGUCGGAUUAGCUAGUUGGAGGGGUAACGGCCCACCAAGGCGAUGAUCAGUAGCCGGUCUGAGCGGAUGAACGGCCCCUAUUGGACGGAGACACGGCCCAUGCUCCUACGGGAGGGAGCAGUGGGGAAUCUUCCGCAAUGGACGAAAGUCUGACGGAGCAACGCCGCGUGAGUGAUGACGGCCUUCGGGUUGUAAAGCUCUGUUAAGCGGGACGCGGUACCGGAAUAGAAAGCCACGGCUAACUACGUGCCAGCAGCCGCGGUAAUAC
rnacentral:rRNA from 1 species